rnacentral:rRNA from 1 species
UACUGCAUACAACCCUGAAUACUCUUGAUUUCAUCUACUCUUGGAGUUAAGCAGGGCCAGGUCUGGUUAGUACUUGGAUAGGAGAAAAUGAAAAAUGAAACAGUAU